rnacentral:pre_miRNA from 1 species
UAUGAAAUUUUAUAUCCAUUUAUAUUAUUAAAAAACUGCAUAGCUAACGUAAUAACCAGACAGUGAUACAUGACAUGCCAUGUGUACAUCAUGUUGACAUACAUGAAUCAAUUUUUAACAAUAAAAAUGAAUUAAAAUUUUAACA